rnacentral:rRNA from 1 species
AGGCAAAAUAGUGAUAUGGNGCAAAACCCUAAAAACGGUCUCAGUUCGGAUUGAAGGCUGAAAUUCGCCUUCAUGAAGCUGGAAUUGCUAGUAAUGGCAGGUCAGCAUACUGCCGUGAAUACGUUCCCGGGCCUUGUACACACCGCCCGUCACACCAUGAGAGUUGGGAAUACCCGAAGCCUGUGAGCUAACUGUAAGGAGGCAGCAGUCGAAGGUAGAAUCAAUGAUUGGGGUGAAGUCGUAACAAGGUAGC